UGGGGAAUAUUGCACAAUGGGGGAAACCCUGAUGCAGCGACGCCGCGUGAGCGAAGAAGUAUUUCGGUAUGUAAAGCUCUAUCAGCAGGGAAGAAAAUGACGGUACCUGACUAAGAAGCCCCGGCUAAAUACGUGCCAGCAGCCGCGGUAAUACGUAUGGGGCAAGCGUUAUCCGGAUUUACUGGGUGUAAAGGGAGCGCAGGCGGCUUGGCAAGUCUGAUGUGAAAGGCUGGGGCUCAACCCCAGGACUGCAUUGGAAACUGUUAGGCUGGAGUGUCGGAGAGGUAAGCGGAAUUCCUAGUGUAGCGGUGAAAUGCGUAGAUAUUAGGAGGAACACCAGUGGCGAAGGCGGCUUACUGGACGACAACUGACGCUGAGGCUCGAAAGCGUGGGGAGCAAACAGG
rnacentral:rRNA from 1 species